GGAAGGGCCAUAGUGCAGUGGUAGAUCAUCUGCCUUGCAUGCAGAAAGUCCCAGGUUCGAUCCCUGGCCUCUCCA
rnacentral:tRNA from 1 species